rnacentral:lncRNA from 1 species
AAGAAUUCACAUCCCGCGCAAGGAAAAUGGACGCUCUGACUUCCUUGCGAAGAAAGCAAGAGGUCGUGGAAUGCUUUUCGCCUUUACAAAUACAUCGACUCCUUCGUGGCUUUCUCUAGAGGAAAGCAUGUUUCCGAGACACUUGUAAUUUUAGUUUGUUUAAUGACAAAAAAAAAAAAAAAAAAAAAUCCAAAAGAAUAUGGGCUUGAGGUCCAACACUUUCACAACAAUCAAAAUAAAAAUCUAAAAAAAAAAGGGCAUGAUGUCCAACACAUAACAAUCAAACCG